rnacentral:rRNA from 1 species
UACGUAGGGGGCAAGCGUUGUCCGGAUUUAUUGGGCGUAAAGAGCUCGUAGGCGGCUUGUCGCGUCGGCUGUGAAAACCUGGGGCUCAACCACAGAAUUGCCUUCGAUACUGCAUGGCUUGAGACCGGAAGAGGUUAGUGGAACUGCGAGUGUAGAGGUGAAAUUCGUAGAUAUUCGCAAGAACACCAGUGGCGAAGGCGGCUCACUGGCCCGGUACUGACGCUGAGGUGCGAAAGCGUGGGGAGCAAACAGG